GCAAGUUUUUCUUGUGCAGGUGUUAUACCUGUCAUCAUCAACAAUCUCAGGAUCAUCGCUUGGAUAAAAUGCAUCCCAUCGCAUUGGGAAAUUAUCUACCGAUGUCAAUGUCUUCGUGUACGGCUGUACGUCCAUGUGAAUGUGGGUUCGCGAGGACACCCUUUAUACCCUAUCCCGUCUGGUGGAAUUCAACUCUUCAUCGGGUGGAUGGAGCAACUGUAAAUGCCUGGCUGUAUUUCCCAGUCAUAAAGGACGACGCUGCUGAGCUGCUGGAUCGAUCUCAUUAUGUAUACCCGGUAACCCCCUCCGCUCCCCUCUUUCGGCAGUAAAUGAAAUACACCGAUUGGAAAAGCGGAUGGGCUCCCGCGCGCUCCGCCAAACGACUUUUCUCUGCUCAAAAUUUAAUGAGGUUUUUGCGGAUUCUGAUUGAAUGCCAGCAUUUCAAUGGAUCCUGCUGCUGCUGCUGCGAGUCAUUUUUGUUUACGUGGCGUUUGCCGUCAUCGAUGAUGGCCGCCGGAAGCUGAUUGAAAGCGAAAGAAAAUCCACGAAGAACAUUUGGAACUGUUUCGUAUUGUAUUCCCGUUGAAUGAUGUGUUAAAUACCAGCGUUCAUGGCGCCACGUGCCUAUUGUACAUGAAAGGCGACGUAAACAGUUUUGUCCGAGACCGAGGACGAGACUUACGUCAAUUUGCAACUUGGACAAGCACAACAAAAUCACAGUGAAACUCCGUCUCCAGCAAGUGUGUGUCGCUAUUAACAUUAAUUCGGUUGACAACGAUUGAUACCACAUUUUCCAGUGAGUGUAUAGAAAAUAGCAAAAGUUCUUUUCUACUCUGAAGAUCUUUUCUUUCAUCUUUUCAGGACAGACAGCUAAAAAAGCUUGUUUAUUGAUUUGAAAGAAAAAAACCGCCGAGUACGCUUGCUAUAGCUAUUCACUUUCAUCAGUCGUCGCUAGAUGGAAGGUAGCACAUUUGGAGGGCGGAGUCAUGGCGGUCAUGGCGGAGUGCAAUGUGCAAGAAGAACAGAUUUUCUGAUGGCUAUAAUUUGCUCUAAACAAUGGAAUGUACAUGGCUCAUUUUAUCGUCACUCUGGGAGGUGGACAUGUUACAAAAUUUUUCCAUAAGAAUGCAGUCAACUAUUAUCAAAUCAAUUACUAGAUGACCUUUUUAUAUCUUCCUUUUUACUCCUAUCAUUUGGGUUUAUUGUGACGAACUGACAGGUGGCUGGUGGCAGAAAGCAUUUGACAGUAGCUAUCCAAAAUAAGCAACUUGUGUGUGUUACGUUUCGGAUGGUUUCAAUUCGGACUAGCCCGGUGCAUCAGUGGGCCUUCUUCAGACAAACCCAGAUUAUGGUGGACCGGAAAUUCCAGAAUCGGAUGAGAUAUCUCGCGGUGACAGUAGAACAGGAUGCAUAUUCGGAAGUCAGCACAUCAAGACUCGGAAACGUUUGUCGGUUCUUUCGUUGCCGACGUCGGCUGCCUUGACUGAGUUGCUACCUGGACGCUUCCCGACUCUUCACUCGCUUCGACGACGACAAAGAUCCUAUCGACUAAUUUUUAUGCUGAAAGACUUGGAAACCAUGCUGUCGCCCACGUCGAGAAGCUGAGUAACAUUCUGCUUUUACAAUGGCACCUCUUAAUAAAAGGAACUUAAGCCAUCCAGUCUAGGGCUUCCAUCAAAUCGUGCAGGCUGCAUGGAAGUCGGAUUUACCUUUGCUGUGAACAUCAUGAACACAUACACUAUUUGAAGGUUCAUGUUUACGUAGCAGUGAUGUUGCUGUCCAAUGUGGCGUGUUGUUGCAGCCUAUGGUGGUGAAAGAUAUCUGCAUCAAGUUGCUGUUCCUUGUGCAUCCAAGGUGCUGGUUUUGUGCUACAGAAGUGACAUCCAAUAUUGUGUUUAAUUGCUAUUUGUGUCUUUGCAGUUAACCUUUAUAUAUUGAGAAGGAACAAAAAAAAAAUAGUAGAUGGGGAGAUUUAUGUCAACCAAAUAAUAAACAUGUCCAGGAUGGGGGAAUGAGGAGGAAGUUGGGGUGGGGUAUUUGGUUAUGAUUUACUAAAAGAAGUGAGGUAUAUUUUUAAUUAAUGAAUAUGCAGUACUUGGUGAUAAAAUAUGUUAUUAACCUAUACAUUACUGUCAACCUAUACCUUCCCCACUUCCACUUACCCAUUCCCCAAACCCCAUAAGCACCAAAAUCAAAUCCCACAUCCACUCACAUCUAUUCCUAAAACCCCACAAUCUCCAACAUCAAAUUCACACAUUUAAAUAUCUGUAAUCAAAAUAAAAACCAUCAAAUAAACAUGGUGUAAACUAUA
rnacentral:lncRNA from 1 species